ensembl:misc_RNA Y_RNA Y RNA
AGCUGGUCUGAGUGCGGUGAUGUUUACAACUAAUUGAUGACAACCAGUUACAGAUUUAUUUGUUUCUUUUCUAUUCCCACUAUUUCUUUCUACUAACCUUUG